UGCACAUGCGCAGCUCACCUGCCUCGCUUUCCGCCUAGGCCUCGCCUUUCUCCGUUUAGAUCUGCGCCUUCCUUCCCGUUAGGGCGUCUCCUCCAGGAAGCCUCCCUGAUGCCCCUGGAUGUCCCGCAGCGCAGGCCUGAGCUCUUCUCUUUGGGACAGGACGUCUCGGUCGUCCUGCUGCCGAGCACCCCGCGGCCACGUCCUCCUUCGCGCCAGGUCCCCAGCCGUGGGCCUCCCCGUGUCUGUCUCCCCCUCGCUGGCCCUGCCCCCGGAACGGUUCGCCCGCCCGCCCGGAAGGGCUUUCUUUUCCCUUGCGUUGUGAGCGCAGCUGGACCACUCCCUCUUGCAGGAGCUCCGGGACGCUGGUCAUCCUGGUCUGUGAUCCCGGAACCGUCUCAUGAAGAUGACCCGAUAAGCCUGCCAUCCCAGCACUCGGGAUGCAGAGGCAGGGGGGUCGGAAGUUCGAGCGCAGCAUGGACCACUUAACAACUUAGUGAGACCCUGUGUCAAAAUAAAAAAUAAGAAAGGGCUGGGGAUGGAGCUCAGUGCGAAGGCCCUGGGUUCACUCCCCAGUACCACAAAACGAAAA